rnacentral:rRNA from 1 species
GCUUGUCUCAAAGAUUAAGCCAUGCAUGUCUAAGUAUAACUCUUUUACUUUGAAAACUGCGAACGGCUCAUUAUAUCAGUUAUAGUUUCUUUGAUAGUCCCUUACUACUUGGAUACCCGUAGUAAUUCUAGAGCUAAUACAUGCAUCAAUACCCAACUGUUCGCGGAAGGGUAGUAUUUAUUAGGUAUAGACCAACCCUCCUCGGAGGUGCUUUGGUGAUUCAUAAUAACUUUUCGAAUCGCAUGGCCUUGUGCCGGCGAUGGAUCAUUCAAGUUUCUGCCCUAUCAACUUUCGAUGGUAAGGUAUUGGCUUACCAUGGUUGCAACGGGUAACGGAGAAUUAGGGUUCGAUUCCGGAGAGGGCGCCUGAGAAAUGGCGACCACAUCCAAGGAAGGCAGCAGG